UACGAAGGGGGCUAGCGUUGUUCGGAAUUACUGGGCGUAAAGCGCGCGCAGGCGGCUAUCCAAGUCAGUGGUGAAAGCCCGGAGCUCAACUCCGGAACUGCCAUUGAAACUGUUUUAGCUUGAGGACGAGAGAGGUGAGUGGAAUUCCCAGUGUAGAGGUGAAAUUCGUAGAUAUUGGGAAGAACACCGGUGGCGAAGGCGGCUCACUGGCUCGUAUCUGACGCUCAGGCGCGACAGCGUGGGAUCGAA
rnacentral:rRNA from 1 species